rnacentral:rRNA from 1 species
GACGAACGCCGGCGGCGUGCUUAACACAUGCAAGUCGAGCGGUAAGGCCCUUUCGGGGGUACGACGAGCGGCGAACGGGUGAGUAACACGUGGGUGACCUGCCCUCAGCUCUGGGAUAAGCCUGGGAAACCGGGUCUAAUACCGGAUAUGACUCCAUGACGCAUGUUGUGGGGUGGAAAGCCUUGUGCGGCUGAGGAUGGGCCCGCGGCCUAUCAGCUUGUUGGUGGGGUGAUGGCCACCAAGGCGACGACGGGUAGCCGGCCUGAGAGGGCGACCGGCCACACUGGGACUGAGACACGGCCCAGACUCCUACGGGAGGCAGCAGUAGGGAAUAUUGGACAAUGGGUGCAAGCCUGAUCCAGCCAUGCCGCGUGCAGGAAGAAAGACCUUCUGGGUUGUAAACUGCUUUUGCCAGGGGAUAAAAUAUCUGUGCGCAGAUAAUUGAAGGUACCUGGUGAAUAAGCC